rnacentral:rRNA from 1 species
AGAGUUUGAUCCUGGCUCAGGAUGAACGCUGGCGGCGUGCUUAACACAUGCAAGUCGAACGAAGCACUCUAUUUGAUUUUCUUCGGAAAUGAAGAUUUUGUGACUGAGUGGCGGACGGGUGAGUAACGCGUGGGUAACCUGCCUCAUACAGGGGGAUAACAGUUGGAAACGACUGCUAAUACCGCAUAAGCGCACAGUAUUGCAUGAUACAGUGUGAAAAACUCCGGUGGUAUGAGAUGGACCCGCGUCUGAUUAGCUAGUUGGUGGGGCAACGGCCUACCAAGGCGACGAUCAGUAGCCGACCUGAGAGGGUGACCGGCCACAUUGGGACUGAGACACGGCCCAAACUCCUACGGGAGGCAGCAGUGGGGAAUAUUGCACAAUGGGGGAAACCCUGAUGCAGCGACGCCGCGUGGAGGAAGAAGGUCUUCGGAUUGUAAACUCCUGUUGUUGAGGAAGAUAAUGACGGUACUCAACAAGGAAGUGACGGCUAACUACGUGCCAGCAGCCGCGGUAAAACGUAGGUCACAAGCGUUGUCCGGAAUUACUGGGUGUAAAGGGAGCGCAGGCGGGAAGACAAGUUGGAAGUGAAAUCCAUGGGCUCAACCCAUGAACUGCUUUCAAAACUGUUUUUCUUGAGUAGUGCAGAGGUAGGCGGAAUUCCCGGUGUAGCGGUGGAAUGCGUAGAUAUCGGGAGGAACACCAGUGGCGAAGGCGGCCUACUGGGCACCAACUGACGCUGAGGCUCGAAAGUGUGGGUAGCAAACAGGAUUAGAUACCCUGGUAGUCCACACUGUAAACGAUGAUUACUAGGUGUUGGAGGAUUGACCCCUUCAGUGCCGCAGUUAACACAAUAAGUAAUCCACCUGGGGAGUACGACCGCAAGGUUGAAACUCAAAGGAAUUGACGGGGGCCCGCACAAGCAGUGGAUUAUGUGGUUUAAUUCGAAGCAACGCGAAGAACCUUACCAGGGCUUGACAUCCUACUAACGAAGUAGAGAUACAUUAGGUGCCCUUCGGGGAAAGUAGAGACAGGUGGUGCAUGGUUGUCGUCAGCUCGUGUCGUGAGAUGUUGGGUUAAGU